rnacentral:misc_RNA from 1 species
GAUGAAGAACGCAGCGAAAUGCGAUAAGUAAUGUGAAUUGCAGAAUCCCGUGAACCAUCGAGUCUUUGAACGCAAGUUGCGCCUCAAGCCAUUAGGUUGAGGGCACGUCUGCCUGGGCGUCACAUAUCGUUGCCUGAUGCCAGUUUCCUCGUGAUGGGUGACUGUGCAGGGCGAAUGAUGGCUUCCCGUGAGCAUUGUUGCCUCAUGGUUGGUUGAAAAUUGAGUCCUUGGUAGGGAGCGCCGUGAUAGAUGGUGGUUGAGUGACGAACGAGACCCAAUCAUGUGAGACCCCUACCGAAUUUGGCCUUCAUGACCCACAUGCGUCUUUGGAACGCUCAUGACGAGACCUCAGGUCAGGCGGGGCUACCCGCUGAGUUUAAGCAUAUCAAUAAGCGGAGGA